AAUGCAGCUGUGUGGGGCUGACAUUUGCACCCUCAGCUGCCCUGGAAAAUCUCAGAUGCUAAUUAGUGCCAGUGUGUUCCUUGGCAAUCUUAAGGAGAAAAGUUUAUCUGAGAGGAGGCUAGACUGACCUGGCCGAGAGCACAGAACUGCUCAUUCAUUCUCCCUCUGAAUGGAAUACAGCGGUAAUAAGAGAUCUGCUGUUGGGAGAGAGAUAAAAACUAUCCCAGGAAGGAAAUCUGAUGUCUGGGAACUACUGCAGACAACCUGAAGUACAUUAUGGAGGGACCCUGGAGGGUUUAAAUCAACUCCAAGAUCUGUCCAGUCAGCUUUAUGGAGACCACCCUACUCAGCCUUCUGCCCCCUCCCCCUCCUCCAUCCCACUACACCUAAGGAAACAGCCCUGAUCAGUGGAAGGAGUGGGGAAGGGUCAAGAACAUUUGAAGUCAGGAGACCC
rnacentral:lncRNA from 1 species